rnacentral:rRNA from 1 species
AACAUGUGAAUUAAUGGGCAGCUAACUUUUGUUGCUGUGCACCCGUCCAUCUGGCUCACGGAAUACUCGCGGGAGGUUGGUUCCGCGGGCGGACGGGAGAUCAAAAAUGGGCGCAGCGCCGCGCCAAGAAAAAUGUGUAGCCCGAGCUGAGAUGGCAUGCCUCAAAACGUACGUUUUGGCGGCACGCUGUUUGCGCUCCCGAAGAAUUGUAGGACUCUCGGCAAUGGAUAUCUUGGCUCUCGCAUCGAUGAAGAGCGCAGCGAAAUGCGAUACGUGGUGCGAAUUGCAGAAUCCCGUGAACCAUCGAGUUUUUGAACGCAAGUUGCGCCCGAGGCCAACUGGCCAAGGGCACGUCCGCCUGGGCGUCAAGCAUGGCAUCGCUCCGUUCGACACCCGCCGUCAAUGGAUUGCGUCGGUGUUGUCCUGGAUGCGGAGAAUGGCUCGUCGUGCGCUUUGUUGCGCGGCGGGUUAAAGAUCGGGGUGAUUUUCUCUUUGCGAUGAUCGAUAUAAAUGGGUGGGAUUGCGGCCCGGUUGAUCCUCAUCAUCGUAUGGUUGCCUUGAGAAAGAUAAUGAUACCCCAGCUUAACCCGGCUCAGUUGUUGUUGGAAGCAAAUUGAAAUGCGGCCCCAGGAUGGGCGGGGUGACCCGCUGAGUUUAAGCAUAUCAAUAA